CGCUAUCACUCCUACGGGAGGCAGCAGUGGGGAAUAUUGCACAAUGGGCGCAAGCCUGAUGCAGCCAUGCCGCGUGUAUGAAGAAGGCCUUCGGGUUGUAAAGUACUUUCAGCAGUGAGGAAGGUGGUGUCGUUAAUAGCGGCAUCAUUUGACGUUAGCUGCAGAAGAAGCACCGGCUAACUCCGUGCCAGCAGCCGCGGUAAUACGGAGGGUGCGAGCGUUAAUCGGAAUUACUGGGCGUAAAGCGCAUGCAGGCGGCCUGUUAAGUCAGAUGUGAAAGCCCGGGGCUUAACCUCGGAAUUGCAUUUGAAACUGGCAGGCUAGAGUCUUGUAGAGGGGGUAGAAUUUCAGGUGUAGCGGUGAAAUGCGUAGAGAUCUGAAGGAAUACCAGUGGCGAAGGCGGCCCCCUGGACAAAGACUGACGCUCAGAUGCGAAAGCGUGGGGAGCAAACAGGAUUAGAUACCCUGGUAG
rnacentral:rRNA from 1 species